CUACAAGCCAGCUCAGCAACUUCAGACAAUUCCCUGCUAGGGAAGGGUGCCACUACCACAACACAACAGGUAUCCUGCAGCACUCCUCUGGUCGAUAAGGAAUGACAAGCUAGACUAAGUUGCACUGUUUUACACCACCAACACUUAAACCUUUCAGUUUUGUUGUUGUUGUUUUACUAAGAAAGUUGGCACUGAAAGUGCUCUACGUUUCCUCCUGCAGACUUGGUCCUUACCCUCCACAAAAGCAUCAGGUGAGAGGAUUCUAUACACCCACUCAGGUUCAGACACAUACCUCGGCACUGCUAUUUCAGCGGCAUUAUUAGAGUGAUUAGGUCAUGCUAGCAGAUAAAACACUGAGUCCUGACAGUGCUCACGACAAAGCAUUGCCAGCACAAUGCAGACACUUGAGCUCUGCAUGCAUCAACAUUGAAACAAAUCUUGAUAAAGUCUUUCAUUAUUGGAAUGCAUCUUCACAGCAGAAGUAGCCAUAACUGGAACCCUUGUAUAUAUGGACAGUUUAAGCCCAGGCACACAUUUUCUUGUCUGGAUUUUUUCUUAGCUUUUAGCCAAAUCUUGCACUCUCUAAAUACUCAAAAAUUAUUGAGACUUUUAGGUGUGUAUGAAGAAAUCCUCACUGGAACACUAAAUACUUCCUUGCCUUCUGGCCAAGCAGAAUUAUUCUGCUAGCCAUUUCAUAAUAAAUAAAUAGAAUUCUACCAUCACUUUUUUUUCUUUUCAGAAACUGAAUCCCAAGCCAUUUAACAGGCACAGCUGUUACUAAAAGACAGCUAAUUUCAGGAGAGGCCUUAUAACAGGAUGGGUUGCACCUUUUCUGAAAUCCCAGUUUCUACUAAUUUCAAUUUAACUUAUGCUAGGACAUUAACUUAAAUAUAUAUAUAUAUAUAUAUACAUACAAACAAAAUAAGCAAACAAAAACAACAAAAAACCCAACCACCUUGCAAAUGGAAAGUUAAGUAAUAAUAAAAUCCACUAGAAGAGCAUCACAGCAUAUGCUGUACUUUACAAAAUAGUCACUUGGCAAGACACUUUGCUGAACAGCUAAUCAACCACAAAACUGCCAUUAAUAUCUGAUGAAUGUAGCACUACCCAAACCCAAUUCUGACAAAUAGAACUACAGAAUCACUGGGGUUGAAAGGGACCAGUGAAGAUCAUCCAGUUUGACCUCUUUGUUCCAAGUGGGAUCAACUAAACCAUGUAGCUCACUACUGUGUGCAGUUCACUUUGGAAUUAUCUCCAAGCAGGGAGACUCCACAAACUCCUUAAGCAACCCGUUGUGAGAAUGUUCAACUACUCCCACAGUCAUUUUUUGUCUUUCAUUUCAAUAGAAUUUUCUGUAUUUUAAUUUGCAUGUCCCUCAACUUGUUGAUGCUCUUCCUAAUGCAGCCAAGGAUACUGCUGGCCCUUCUUUGCUGUGAGUGUGCAUUGCUAGCUUAUGCUCAACUUGUUUUCAUUAUAAAUUACCAUGGAGAUCAAUGGAAGAUAUUAGGCAGGCCCUAUUAAGAUGUAUUAGUUCAUUUUCUCAUGGAAUGGAGACAGUAUUCCAGUAUGACAUGGAAUUAUACCUAUUUCAGGGGAAACACCACUGAAAGCUUCAGACCUUCUGG
ensembl:lncRNA